AUUGAACGCUGGCGGCAGGCCUAACACAUGCAAGUCGAACGGUAACAGGAAGAAGCUUGCUUCUUUGCUGACGAGUGGCGGACGGGUGAGUAAUGUCUGGGAAACUGCCUGAUGGAGGGGGAUAACUACUGGAAACGGUAGCUAAUACCGCAUAACGUCGCAAGACCAAAGAGGGGGACCUUCGGGCCUCUUGCCAUCGGAGGUGCCCAGAUGGGAUUAGCUAGUAGGUGGGGUAACGGCGCACCUAGGCGACGAUCCCUAGCUGGUCUGAGAGGAUGACCAGCCACACUGGAACUGAGACACGGUCCAGACUCCUACGGGAGGCAGCAGUGGGGAAUAUUGCACAAUGGGCGCAAGCCUGAUGCAGCCAUGCCGCGUGUAUGAAGAAGGCCUUCGGGUUGUAAAGUACUUUCAGCGGGGAGGAAGGGAGUAAAGUUAAUACCUUUGCUCAUUGACGUUACCCGCAGAAGAAGCACCGGCUAACUCCGUG
rnacentral:rRNA from 1 species